UUAAAUUUCAUUUUUUUUUUCUCUCCAGGCCUUCUUUGAAGGAGAAGUCGCCCAUUCAUUUAGGAAGCACUCUUGGUUCGUGUUCUCCUGAUUUAAAAUUUGACUCUAUCGGAAGGGCUAUCACUACUACCUAUUAAAUAUUGAUGGCCUACUGACUUCUUGUUUUUUUUAAAUAUUGAAGAGUUUGAUCCGAUAUAUUGCGCAAUAAAAAUCACUUUUUUAAGAGAGGCCGACUUGAUAAUGAUCUUUAUUUACAACUGUCUCAAAUGUUAUGCAAAUUUAUAACUCUUUGAUAUUCUUCUGUUUCUUUUGAAAUUUGUUUGCAACC